rnacentral:rRNA from 1 species
GACGAACGCUGGCGGCGUGCUUAACACAUGCAAGUCGAACGGAAAGGCCCUGCUUGCAGGGUACUCGAGUGGCGAACGGGUGAGUAACACGUGGGUGAUCUGCCCUGCACUUCGGGAUAAGCCUGGGAAACUGGGUCUAAUACCGGAUAGGAGCCCUUUUUAGUGUGAUGGUUGGAAAGUUUUUUCGGUGUAGGAUGAGCUCGCGGCCUAUCAGCUUGUUGGUGGGGUAAUGGCCUACCAAGGCGGCGACGGGUAGCCGGCCUGGGAGGGUGGACGGCCACAUUGGGACUGAGAUACGGCCCAGACUCCUACGGGAGGCAGCAGGGGGGAAUAUUGCACAAUGGGCGCAAGCCUGAUGCAGCGACGCCGCGUGGGGGAUGACGGCCUUCGGGUUGUAAACUCCUUUCGCUAGGGACGAAGCUUUUUGUGACGGUACCUAGAUAAGAAGCACCGGCUAACUACGUG